rnacentral:rRNA from 1 species
GAGUAACGCGUAAAUAAUCUACCCCUGCAUUUGGGAUAACCCACCGAAAGGUGGGCUAAUACCGGAUACGUUCUUUAGAUUGCGAGAUUUAGAGAAAAAAAGGUGGCCUCUGAUAUAAGCUACUGUGCGGGGAGGAGUUUGCGUACCAUUAGCUAGUUGGUAGGGUAAUGGCCUACCAAGGCGACGAUGGUUAGCGGGUCUGAGAGGAUGAUCCGCCACACUGGAACUGGAACACGGGCCAG